rnacentral:rRNA from 1 species
UACGAAGGGAGCUAGCGUUACUCGGAAUCACUGGGCGUAAAGCGUGCGUAGGCGGUUUUGUAAGUCAGAAGUGAAAGCCUGGGGCUCAACCCCAGAAUUGCUUUUGAAACUGCAUAACUAGAGUGUCAUAGGGGGAUAGCGGAAUUCCUAGUGUAGAGGUGAAAUUCGUAGAUAUUAGGAGGAACACCGGUGGCGAAGGCGGCUAUCUGGGUGAACACUGACGCUGUUGCACGAAAGCGUGGGGAGCAAACAGG